AUUGAACGCUGGCGGCAUGCUUUACACAUGCAAGUCGAGCGGCAGCGCGGGACUCAGGCAACUGAGCCCUGGCGGCGAGCGGCGAACGGGUGAGGAAUACAUCGGAACGUGUCCCGUAGUGGGGGAUAGCUCGGCGAAAGCCGGAUUAAUACCGCAUAUGGCUCUACGGAGGAAAGCCGGGGAUCUGUUAAAGGACCUGGCGCUAUGGGAGCGGCCGAUGUCCGAUUAGCUAGUUGGUGAGGUAAAGGCUCACCAAGGCGACGAUCGGUAGCUGGUCUGAGAGGAUGAUCAGCCACACUGGGACUGAGACACGGCCCAGACUCCUACGGGAGGCAGCAGU
rnacentral:rRNA from 1 species